GAAAGAAAUAAUGAAGUUGAAGCUUGACAGCGAGAGCUCACAGAAGGCAUGCAAGCUACAGAAAAAGCAUGGUAAAAAGAAAAGCCACGUCAAUGAAAGCAAUGCCCUAUUGGAAAAGCAAAACAAUGUCGAACAACAUUUAGGACAAGACGCUCCAACCCUAGAUGAGGCUCCAUUACAACAACAUUUAGAUUCUGCUCCACCCUUUGAUUGUAACGAG
rnacentral:misc_RNA from 1 species